rnacentral:rRNA from 1 species
UACGUAGGGGGCAAGCGUUGUUCGGAAUUACUGGGCGUAAAGGGCUCGUAGGCGGCCAACUAAGUCAGACGUGAAAUCCCUCGGCUUAACCGGGGAACUGCGUCUGAUACUGGAUGGCUUGAGUGUGGGAGAGGGAUGCGGAAUUCCAGGUGUAGCGGUGAAAUGCGUAGAUAUCUGGAGGAACACCGGUGGCGAAGGCGGCAUCCUGGACCAUUACUGACGCUGAGGAGCGAAAGCCAGGGGAGCAAACGGG